UACGCCUUUAGUUCAGUUGGCAGAACGUAGGUUUCCAAAACCUAAUGUCGAGGGUUCAAGUCCUUCAGGGCGUGUCC
rnacentral:tRNA from 1 species